UACGUAGGGUGCGAGCGUUGUCCGGAAUUACUGGGCGUAAAGGGCUCGUGGGCGGCCAACUAAGUCGGACGUGAAAUCCCCAGGCUCAACCUGGGAACUGCGUCCGAUACUGGAUGGCUUGAAUCCGGGAGAGGGAUGCAGAAUUCCAGGUGUAGCGGUGAAAUGCGUAGAUAUCUGGAGGAAUACCGGUGGCGAAGGCGGCAUCCUGGACCGGCAUUGACGCUGAGGAGCGAAAGCCAGGGGAGCAAACGGG
rnacentral:rRNA from 1 species